rnacentral:misc_RNA from 1 species
AAAAUGCGAUAAGUAAUGUGAAUUGCAGAAUUCCGUGAAUCAUCGAAUCUUUGAACGCACAUUGCGCCCGGGAGUAAAUCUUCCGGGCAUGCCUGUUCGAGCGUCAUUUCACCACUCAAGCCUCGCUUGGUGUUGGGAUUCCUGCUUAGGGUUUUCGCGCCUCUACAGCGCGUUCUCCCCGCAGGUCCCUGAAAUGCAUCGGCUGCCCUUCUGUUAGGCGCCCCCUGCGUAGUAAUUUUGCUCGCAUUGGGACCCAGAGGUGGCACGCCGCGAAACCUCUUUUUUUUUUUUAGGUUGACCUCGAAUCAGGUAGGAAUACCCGCUGAACUUAA